UCGAGCGGAUGACGGGAGCUUGCUCCUUGAUUCAGCGGCGGACGGGUGAGUAAUGCCUAGGAAUCGCCUGGUAGUGGGGGACAACGUUUCGAAAGGAACGCUAAUACCGCAUACGUCCUACGGGAGAAAGCAGGGGACCUUCGGGCCUUGCGCUAUCAGAUGAGCCUAGGUCGGAUUAGCUAGUUGGUGGGGUAAUGGCUCACCAAGGCGACGAUCCGUAACUGGUCUGAGAGGAUGAUCAGUCACACUGGAACUGGCACACGGUCCAGACUCCUACGGGAGGCAGCAGUGGGGAAUAUUGGACAAUGGGCGAAAGCCUGAUCCAGCCAUGCGGCGUGUGUGAAGAAGGUCUUCGGAUUGUAAAGCACUUUAAGUUGGGAGGAAGGGCAGUAGGCUAAUACCUUGCUGUUUUGACGUUACCGACAGAAUAAGCACCGGCUAACUCUGUGC
rnacentral:rRNA from 1 species